rnacentral:rRNA from 1 species
GACGAACGCUGGCGGCGUGCUUAACACAUGCAAGUCGAACGGAAGGGCCCUGCUUUUGUGGGGUGCUCGAGUGGCGAACGGGUGAGUAACACGUGAGUAACCUGCCCUUGACUUUGGGAUAACUUCAGGAAACUGGGGCUAAUACCGGAUAGGAGCUCCUGCUGCAUGGUGGGGGUUGGAAAGUUUCGGCGGUUGGGGAUGGACUCGCGGCUUAUCAGCUUGUUGGUGGGGUAGUGGCUUACCAAGGCUUUGACGGGUAGCCGGCCUGAGAGGGUGACCGGCCAAAAUGGGGACGAGGAUACGGCCCGGACUCGUAGGGGGGGAAGAGGGGGGGAAUAUGGAACAAGGGGCGAAGGCCUAAGGAGGCAACGCGGGGGGGGGAAGGACGGCCUUGGGGUGGUAAACGGCUUUGGCCGGUAAGGAGGGGGAGGGAAGGGAAUGGGUAAAGAAGCACCGGCUAACUACGUG